UCUGGCAGUGUCACAGCUCCCGCACGUGCAGCCCCAUCUCUCCCCGUGCGUGCUCUGCGCCCACAGCAACCCCCCGCCACCGCGGGCAGGGGAGGGCAGAGGGAUAGUGGGAUGUGACACGGGGGGGGCCACAUCCUUCUCCCCACCCUGAGAAGGUGGCCUGGACUGCCAGGAGCAUCAGCAAGAGGUCUGCGGGUUGCAGUGCGGAGAGCAGCUCUUGGCUCCCUGUGCCAGGAAAAUCCUUCACUCGGCACCUCCCGCGCUGCGCCAAGGGGAGGUGAUGUCCUCGGCACCGGGGGUGUUCACGGCUUCCCCAUCUGCUGGGCUCCUCUCUGGCUUCUCUCCACCCUGGGGAUUUUGCGGCGGUCCUGGCGCCCGGCGGAGCGCUGCCGGCUCUCUGCCAGUGUGCCUGCAGCCCGGCAGCACCCAGCCCUGCCAGGCUCUGCCCGCCAGGCCCUGGGCACCAGGAUCCUCCACAUCCAUCUGCAGCUCUGGGAAAAACCCCCUUCAUCCCAGGCUGCCAGCGCAGGUCUCGCAGCUAUAAGCUCUGCAGCAGCCCUGGCCCCCCCCGCAGCCAGGAGAUGCCCGUGGCUCCGGGCGAAGGAGGGACAGGGAUUAGUUUAAUUUAGCGCCUGGAACAUCGGGACGGGGGAUCGUGCAGGGUGAGUAAUUGCGAGGACAGUGCAUCUGCUAGCAGCGCAGUUUUAGGCGCUGUUUCAUUAGUGGUCCCUGCACGUCGUUAUCUCGGCUGCGUGCCAGGCACAUGACGGGAGGGACCACAGCCCGCUCCGUCCUGGUCAAACCUGCCACACUGAAACCCAGGGGUUUGCAGGGUUUCUCAGCAGUUUUCCUCCCAGAGUUAUUUAUAUUUGUCCAUGUUUCCACCUGCAAGACCUCUGGGAAGCUCGUUCCUUCCCAGCCUGCGGCAAGAGAGGAGCCUUCGUGUUUGUCCUGCCUGUGCCAGUUACCGCUGUGGUUUGCCCUUGUCAGUGGGCUGGAGCCCAGUGAGUGCCGGGGGAAAGCCAGGCUGGCUCCUGCCCCUCCUGUGGGGUGGCCGGAGACUCCCCAGGCUCUGCCAUGUGUCCCUGCAGCCGGUGGGUCUGUCACCCUGCGGGACACGUGGCGGAGGCGUGGGGCCCCCCUCCCCGCACUGUGGGUGCCCGGGGUCUUCUGCAGUACCUGCGUCCCCCCGGGGCUCCCACAUCCCGAGCCCCUUUGCUCCUUUCCCCCACCCGCUUCUGCUCUAGAGAGGCAAAACUCUGUGUAAAAGCCUCUCAAGACACAAGUUUCUCACAAAUUCUGCCUGAAGUCUGGAGCCCUGUGCCUUGCUCUCCGCUGCCUGGGGUGUUUGCAUGUUUCUGCUCCCCGCUCCUUUGUGCAAGUAUUGCAGGUUUUUUGCCUUCUGCACAGCCCUCCUUGCUUCCCCAGGGCUGCUGGGCUCAUUAAUUUCCCUCUCAUUACGGCUCUGAAUACCUCCCAGGCAACAUUUUUAGAUGUUUGACCUAUAUGCAGAUGAUUUAUUUUCCUGUGCGAUGCCAGCCCGAACGGCAGCGUCCCUCCUCGGGGAGGCGUGAGGCUCCCGGGGCUGUUCCCUUGGCUGCAGGGAAAGGCACGUACGUCCCUUUCUGCCCUGCCGUGCCCCAGCUCUGCACCCUGGUCCCGGGCUGCUGUGAGUCCUGGGGCUGCCCGAGCCCGGUCCCCCGGGAGGGGACAGGGGACACGGGGCACCGGGAGCCUGCCUGACGUCUCUGCCUGAGCCGAGGCGCUGGGAUGCUGUGGGUGCUGUCCUCCCCUCGCUGCCUGCUUCUGCCCAUUGCAGAGUUGCCGGUAAAAAUGGGAAGGGAAGCGGCAAACAGCUCUCAGGGGCGCAGGGGGAAUGUGUAUGGCCCUUCCUGGCUCUCUGUCCGGGUAAACCUGCCCCGUGCCCUGGCCGGGGGGGGCUGUAGGGGACGGUUCUCUGCUGAGCCCACCUGGAGCUCUGGCACAGUCCCAGCUGGGCCUUGGUCCCUCUCCCGGGUCUCGGCUCACCCUCGAGGCGCAGACCCCGGGAGCGGGGUACGGUGCUGCCAGCCCAAGGCUCGCCC